UACCUAGACGGCAGCAGCCGGCGGCAGGGAGA
rnacentral:scRNA from 1 species